rnacentral:rRNA from 1 species
GACGAACCGAGCGAACGUUAUUCGGAAUCACUGGGCUUAAAGGGCGCGUAGGCGGGCGAUCAAGUCAGGGGUGAAAGCCCCCAGCUCAACUGGGGAAGUGCCUUUGAUACUGGUCGUCUCGAGCGAGGUAGGGGCGUGCGGAACUUCCGGUGGAGCGGUGAAAUGCGUAGAGAUCGGAAGGAACACCGGUGGCGAAAGCGGCGCGCUGGACCUCUUCUGACGCUGAGGCGCGAAAGCCAGGGGAGCGAACGGG